AUUUAUUAUUUAAUUUUUUUGCUUUUGACUUGUUUCCAGUUUUUUUUUGCUCAUUUUGUGACCAAAGAUGGCACCCCCUUUCUCGUCGGGUGACUUAGAAUAUUUUUUUGUUGUCGUUAUCCUUUUGUUUGGUUCUUGUAGUUUUUGGCUGCUGUGGUACAAUAAAAAAGAACAACACAAAAAAAUGCAACGAAUGAAAACAGCUACAGGAAAUGUAUGAAGAGGGUGCACCUUGCACGUUUGCCUCAUGCAGAGGCCUCUUUCUGAAGGAACGAUUGUAAACAUUUGUAAAUAGAGAAGACUGGUAGAAAACAUAACAAACAGCAAUUCAAAAGCAUUUGUUACAUUUGUCCCACGGUACCUGCUGUACACGUACGUGUACCAAUCUGUUCUGUGGUCAAGGGUGAAGGGUCUUGACCCUUUUCAUCCGACUAUCAAGAGAUUGUUACAUAGGAGUCCGUUGUCAUAAACAGUUUUGGAGAGAUACUGUUUUAAAGGAGUGAAUGCCAUAGUCUUUCAUCAAGGACUUUUGAAUCAGAUGAGCGCAAAUACGCUGUGAUCUGAACCCCCAUUUUACUGAAGCAAAUCAUCCCCAUAUAACCCUCCACUACAGUUCAGUUUAAAAAGUUGGCUCAAGGUGGUUACGUGUGUAAUGAUGUGGUGUCGUUUGUUUUACAUGAGCUUUGUGAACACACGUACUGCCCCAGGUACUGCCCCAGGUACUGCCCCAGGUACUGUCCCCAUCUCCCUGUUUUUCUCUGUCUGUUUCUGUCUUAUGGGUGUUGUGUAGUCAAACUUCCUUCUGAGCAGUGCAUCAGACUGCUGCCACCUAUGUGUGUGUGCGUGUGCGCGCACGUAUGUACGUGAGUGUGUUUGUGUGUUAGUUCAUAGUAUCCUCACUGACAUUGCGACCUGCCAUUUUCAAAAUAAAUUAUCCAGAAUGUUCUCUUUUCUUGUCCUUCAUGUACGCUCUUUUAUCUUCCAUUACUACAGGUCAUAACACUAGGUACGUCGCCCCUCCUUCCCUCCCAUUACUAC
ensembl:lncRNA